rnacentral:rRNA from 1 species
UUUCAGCGGCGCAAGGGUGCGUAACACGUGGGCAAUCUGCCGAGAAGUGGGGGAUAGCUCGCCGAAAGGCGAAUUAAUACCGCAUACCACCAGGGGUGACAUCACUCCGACGUGAAAGCCGGGUCAAACUGGCGCUUCUUGAUGGGCCCGCGGCCUAUCAGCUAGUUGGCGAGGUAACGGCUCACCAAGGCAUUGACGGGUAGCUGGUCUCAGAGGACGACCAGCCACACUGGAACUGAGACACGGUCCAGACACCUACGGGUGGCAGCAGUCGAGAAUUUUUCUCAAUGGGGGAAACCCUGAAGGAGCGACGCCGCGUGGAGGAUGAAGGUCUUCGGAUUGUAAACUCCUGUCAUUUGAGAACAAGGGAUCGGGGAGUCACUGCCCCGGUUUUGAUAGUAUCAGAAGAGGAAGAGACGGCUAACUCUGUGC